GGCGAGGGCGAGGCAGGAGAUAAACCAGGUGUUCCACCGAAGGUGUGAUAGAAAACUGAGCAGGUGUCCCAGCGAGUGCAAGAUACUGAUAGUGUGUGAAUGUGUGACUGUAUUCAUGAUCAUGGACAUCAUUUCAUGGUUUACAAGUGAACAAUCGCCUUUUUAUCAAUGUGUAUUCCUGAAAGGAUACUUAGAAUUUUGCAAGGAGAUGAGGAUUUUCUCUAUUGCUUGUGGAUGUUAGAGUUACCCCUCUUUGUGCUAGAGUGGUAGCAGCCGCAGCAGUAUACAGUAUACUACUUGUUGUACAGUCUUUUUUUAAUGAUGAAUUUAUUUGUACAUGUCAUUGAUUAAAAUGAUACUAUAAUCU
rnacentral:misc_RNA from 1 species